CAGCAGCCGCGGUAAAACGAAGGGGGCUAGCGUUGUUCGGAUUUACUGGGCGUAAAGCGCACGUAGGCGGAUCGAUCAGUCAGGGGUGAAAUCCCAGAGCUCAACUCUGGAACUGCCUUUGAUACUGUCGAUCUGGAGUAUGGAAGAGGUGAGUGGAAUUCCGAGUGUAGAGGUGAAAUUCGUAGAUAUUCGGAGGAACACCAGUGGCGAAGGCGGCUCACUAGUCCGUUACUGACGCUGAGGUGCGAAAGCGUGGGGAGCAAACAGGAUUAGAUACCCCAGUAGUCCCUGUCUCUUAUAC
rnacentral:rRNA from 1 species